AACGAACGCUGGCGGCGCGUCUUAACCAUGCAAGUCGAGCGGCAGGCAGCAAUGCCGAGAGCGGCGGACUGGUGAGUAACACGUGGAUAACGUACCCCGAUGUCCGGGACAGCCUGUAGAAAUAGAGGGUAAUACCGGAUAGAUCACUGUUUACGUGAGGUAGACAGCGGGAAAGGAGCUUCGGCUCCGCGACGGGAUCGGUCUGCGGCCCAUCAGCUGGACGGCGGGGUAAAGGCCCGCCGUGGCGAGGACGGGUAUCCGGCCUGAGAGGGCGGACGGACACAUUGGGACUGGGAUACGGCCCAGACUCCUACGGGAGGCAGCAGGUAAGAAUAUUCCGCAAUGGGGGGAACCCUGACGGAGCGACGCCGCGUGAACGAAGAAGGCCGGGAGGUUGUAAAGUUCUUUUCUGUCCGAGGAAUAAGUUUCGGAGGAAAUGCCGGGACGGUGACGGUAGGGCAGGAAUAAGCACCGGCUAAUUACGUG
rnacentral:rRNA from 1 species